CCAAAGUCUGCUGAGAGAUUUCCUCUUUUGCUUCCUAGAAAACAACAUGACAAGAAAGGGAUCAACUGGCUCCCAAAACAGCUGCAGAGAACUUGCUAUGUUCUUCCCUGUCAGAAAGAAUACAGUACCCUGUUCCAGCUGCCAAAAUGCAUUUUAACUGUAGAAAUUGAAAUAACCUCUUUUUUUAAUUAAUCUCAACUUCUUUGGCACAUAAUAUUUUUCUAAAAUUGGGAUAAAAUUAUAACUAACAUAUUUAGCAUUAAUUACACUUUUAACAUGUCUUUAAAUAAUUUCUGUAUGAUAUAUUUGUAGUUGUCAAGAUAAGCUAUGGUAGUAUAAUGGAUAUUCUGUACUAAGUCAAUAUUUGAGUGUAAAAUGUUAGGAACAAAAUACAAGAAAGAACUGUUUACAAGGUUCUUUCAAGAAUCUAGAUAGUAUUUGGAAACAAUACUAAUUAUUUUUAUUAAAUUAUUUUUAUAUUGCUUUUCACUAUGAAAAAUCCAAAGCAGUUUACAUACAAUUUUCCUUAAAAUAUUUUAAAUAUAAAUCAGGAUAAAAACAUAUUUGUCAAAUUACAAAUUUUAGGAGGAAUCUAUAACUGGGAAAGGCUAACAUAAAAGACAGUAUUUUACAAGGUGCCUGAAAUCCAGUUUUCCACAGGCACAAAAUGAAGAAAACCUGGCUCCAUGUAACCACCGUGUCACAAUUCAUAAGCCAUGGCAGAGAAAGCAGUUCCCCCUCCCGAACAUGUUAAGCCCUGGGAGGCUGAUGGAACUGGGCACAUUCUUUAACUUAGUCCCAAGUUAAGGAUUUAUAUAUACUACCAUCUUGAAUCUAGAUUGGCCGCCUGCACAAAUUUUAUUUUUAAUGUUGGUAUAAUGAUGUGCAUGGCCUGACAAACUACUACAUUCUUUACUAGCUGCAGCUUUUAAAUCAGUCUCAAGGAUAAAGCUAUAUAGAGCAUAUUACAGUAAUCCAUUAUUGAAAUUAUUCAUGUAAAAAUUACUAUAGCAAUUUAUCUUUACUCAGAAACAGAUGCAACUGGCAUACUCCCCUAAAUUAGGAGUUGACACUAGCCAUGGAGGUCCUCUAGGCAGGACUUCUAUGGCUAGAAACAUUUAUUUUCCAUAGAGUCCAACAAAACAAAAUGUACAAAUAAUGAUUUCUCUAUGGUUAUUUCAUAUGUUUACAGCAGGAGACAGACUAUUUUGCAGCUCAAUUCUGGAAGAGAUUUCAAGAGUCUGAAAAGAUGAUUUAUUGAAGACUAGAUUAUUCUAACCAUGGUCUGGUAAGUCAGCUGAAUCUGGAAUAAUUUUUAUGAUUAAUUAACUAUUAUUAUGCUAGAAAAAUUACAUUGUGUAUGGGUCAACCACAGCAUGGAACAACACUUCUAAUAGCAUCUUUGUUGUUCUUUUUCUGUUUUUCAUUCUACAAGGCUGAAAAAAAAAUCUCUCUCAUUUCUUAAAACAAAUAGUAGUAAACAGCAUUGCAGCAAAUGCAAAGUUGCUUCAAUUAUAUGGUCAUGUUGUGCAGGGAGGUAAGUAGCCACUACAGCCACUAACUUGAUUUUCUAUUGGAUGAUUGUCAGGUUAAUACUAAGCAUAGUUCACUGUGACAUCCAAACAUCAUGUAAAACUGGCAGCCCUCAGAAUGGAAAGCAGACAGAUAUCAUUCUGAAUUUUUAAAAAAGUGUCCAGCUAUUGCCCAAUAGUUCUACUUAUAUUAAAUAUUGCAAAGUUUGAUUUUUAAUUUAUUUUCCUUCUGUUUUCAGAGCCUACAGCAAAGUGCCAUUUCUUUAACACAGAUUUUGACAGGAAACAAUGAAUUUCAUUAUCAGGUUGUCUUCGAAGACACCAGUGUUGACAGAUGUUACAAAGAUUUCAACCAAACAAUUAAAAAAACCUGAUUUGACAGAGAAUGAGUUAUUUAGGGUUUCCCAUCUUUACCUUUUCUACUGCUAAUGCACUUCAUUUUGAAUCUAAUCAAAUCAUGUCCCUAUGGACUUCAAUUGACCUGCCAUCAUCAAAACUGCAAUAAUUAAAGUAAUGUCUGAACUUAUCUAAUCCAGAGAUUUGGUUGUAAUACAAGAGAAAUAAAAAUUACUGAUAUUGUAAAAAAGGUGAAAUUAUAUCUGGGAUAGUCAACAUUUUAUUACUUUGACAUUUUUUUGCUGCUGUCUUCCAUUCUAACACAAUCUAAUGCAAAUUUACUCAGAAGAAAUCAUGCUGAGUUUAGUUUAUUCACCUUCAAUGUUUUUUUUUUUUUUUACUGUGGGCAACCCAAACUUGCUUGCACUUGUUUUGACUGUCUAUAUAGUAUUUGAGAAAAAUGUGGAUCCCUUUAAAAAAUUGUUAUAGUAUUGGCUAAAAUUUUCAAAGUUUUUGCCUCUUUUGUAGAUUCCCAAGAUGAAAUAUAGGCUACUUUGAUUUCCCUACAUACACGAACACUAAAUACUCAUGUGGUCCCUUUUACGCUUGCCUUUAUUUUACCUUAGAAAAUUUCGUGAUUAUGUUUAAAUUCAAGUAUUUGAGAAGACCAACUUCAUUUUUAUAUAACACCUUCUAUGAAAAACAGCCUUCUCUAAAAAUUGAUCCAUGCAGACUAAUUCUCCUGAGAAACAUCCCUUAAUGCUCUGCUGCAGGGAUGUCAAACUGCCGGCUCGCAGGCUGGUUACAUCAUAUGGAGGUUGUGCCCAUCCCAGCUCCAGCAAUGCAAAAAAAGUUGCGAUACGUCACGACAGGUCACAUGACACAGUGAGUUUGACAUCCGUAUUCUAUUGCAAUCACAUUCUCUCUCAUCAAUUGAUCUGUCCCUAUUCAAUUAGGGAAGGCUAGAGAUUUGUUUUUUUUGGUUUUUUAGAUUUGACAAGACUGGCAAAGCUUUACAAACUCAGGAUUCUGUCCAUAAUACAACAGAUUGAAAAUUGAAGAAUGCCUGUUACUUUGUUGAUAAAGUUGAAUGUAGAGUAAAUCUUUAGGUUUCAAAAUAUGCUGAUCUAGAAUCUACUGGAGAUAUAUACUGUAAGAAGCUUCUCUGUUGCAAAGAUUCUAUGUAUGUAGCAAAUAUUAGAUUAAAAAUUAGCCCCAUUGUUAUUGUCACUAUGUAUGAAAAAAAUCUUUAAUUAUCUAUAGUAUGAGUUAUUUAGACCAAUUUAUACAAAACAAUCUCCCUGAUUUAAUUCACCAGAGGAAAGCCACAGAAGAAACAAAAGCAGAGAUGGGUGUUCCUGUUGGCAUGAAGAUAGCUCUUUGGAAAACAAAUGCAGUAUAAUUUGAAGUUUUGCAAAUGACUUUUUCCCCUAAAACGUUUAAACAAACUUUUAUAGCUUCCCUUGGAUUUAAUUGUAUGUAGAUAUAAUGCAUUUAUUUAUAUUAUUUUCAUAAUCAUUAAUAAUUGGUUGUCAUUUUUGGCUUUGGAUUAGAUCUGUGGUUUGAGUAAAUAACUGCAAGACAGUCUUAGGACUUCCACUGGCUGGAAUGAGUGUAUUCAUGUGUGAAGCAAUAAUAUGAAGCCCAAGUAAUCUUGGGAGGCUAUUGCUGUUAUGUCUCUUGCAUAUUAUUGAAGUUGCCAAAAGCUAGAAAGCUGCUGCCACAAACUUCAUUAAUACUAAAGAUAUUAAAAUUGUUUCUGCUAUGCAACAAUAACAUCAAGAACAGCGCGUGACAAAUACUGCUUCCAUCUCUCUCGCGUUCCCUCCGAGGGCACCGCCCUAAGAACCAAGAACAGCCUGACUACGCAUGCGCACACCUCUGCUUCUUUUUCGCCGAGUGCCGCGCCGCCUUUUCCUUCCCCUCCCUCCGCAAGAACGGAUUCAAGCGUACUCGUACACAUGCGCCGACAUCAAUUGACGUGAGAGAGCAGCGGUGCCUUUCUGUGGCUUAUUGAGGCUGCAGUGCCAUCUGGCGACCAACUUCUCUGUUACGAAUUCCAGCGCAUGCGUAGUUCCUGCGGAUGUGGGCGGACGCGCGCCUCCUGUGUAGCUUACGUCACGUUUACGUAGGAGGUAGUUAGAGUACUCCGUGGGAAAAAUGGAAGGUAACACAAUUGGAUUUUAGGCUGCGAUACCUAUAUUCUGCGUUUUCCAACUCAACUGUUGCUCAGAUGUACUGGAAUAAUUGGUCCCAACAAUCACAGUCAAGAGAUUUAUACUUAUCUGAGUAACUUAUCUGGAUUAGUAUAAAAUACUAACACGUAAAGUAAAUCAGUAAUAUAAAUAUAUAAAGAUAUGAUUAUUGUGCUGGUGCAAUGAAUAAGGAUAGAAGAAUAAAAUGAAAGCGUAGAAUGUUAAUUUCAUAAGAACAGUUUAGGAUGAAAGGAUAAUUUCCUGGGAUGCAGCAGUGCAAAAUAUAAGACAAGUGGUUCAUCUCUUGCAGAUGGUACUCAGUGGUAUUGUGCCUUGAAAUAUAAAGGUCCUAUUAUGUCUUAUAGUCAUUAAUAGGGCUACUCUCUGUGUGUAUAUUGUAAUCUUUAGAUCAGGGGUGUCAAAACUGCCGGCCCAUGAAUCAUGCGGAGGCUGUGCCCACCCCAGCUCUGGCAAUGCAAAAAAAGUUGCGAUACAUUGCAAUAUGUCAUGUGACUGGUGACCCGUGCUUUAGACUUAUGAUGAUAACUGAUUCCAUACACAUCCAUAGUUAGGUGAAGUGAGUGUAAUUUAAAAUCCAGUUUCUUUUUCUGCCCUGAAUCUGAAGAUACUUUCUUUGAUUAUUCAGCAAUGGAUGUAGGCUAAAAACGCUUGGAACGCAGAACUUUAAUAGUGGUAAUAAACAGGGAAGAGUGUUUAUGUGAAAUUAAAAUGUAUAAAAAUUUUUUUGUGAUUUUUAUUUUUGAGUCAUUUGGACAGAUGAAAUAUUAGGGAUAAUAAACAAUACAAAAUACAGUACUAGCUGUUAGAUAACAUUAGAAGCACAAAGAAAAAUGUAGCUUCCUAAGUAAGCCGAUUUCAUCCCUCUAAUGUUAGGGAUAAUCAGCCUGAUGGCCUAAUGGUGAAAAUGUGCACUCAUUCAGAAGAUUGAGAGUUCAUUUCUAGAUAGCAGCAGAUAUUUCUCUCCUUGGGCUCAAAAAAAAAAAAAAAAAUUUCAAAUUCCACAUUGACAUCAGGAAGGACAUUUGGCCAGUAAAUGCUCAGCUCCAUCCAGUUACCCCAAUUCUACCCUGAAUAUGGACUACAGCAGGCAUGUCAAACUGCUGGCCCGCAGGCCGGAUGCGUCACUCCGAAACCAUGCCCACCCCAUUGCCGGCA